CCCGGCGACCGGCGCACGGGUGAGUAACGCGUGUGCAACCUGCCCGGCACAGUGGGAUAAUCCGGAGAAAUCCGGUCUAAUACCGCAUGACGCGGGAAAGGCGCAUGCCUUUUCCGCCAAAGGAGGCGACUCCGGUGCCGGCUGGGCACGCGUGACAUUAGCUAGUUGGCGGGGCGACGGCCCACCAAGGCGACGAUGUCUAGGGGUUCUGAGAGGAAGGUCCCCCACACUGGUACUGAGACACGGCCCAAACUCCUACGGAAGGCAGCAG
rnacentral:rRNA from 1 species